UUGGACAGAAGAUUCACUCUAUGGUUGAAGCCAAAUGGCUUUAUGCACAUUCUCUGGUCUGGUCCUGACCAGUCAGAAAUUCCAAGCCAAAACAGCGACUUUGCUUGAGGAAAUAUUCAAAGACGCCCAUGGGAGCAGCCAGUCAUCCAUCACAGGCCAGCGUGGAGUCCAGCGCCGUGGCCCUGAGGACCAGCCUGCCCACAGCAGCAAAGCAGCUCAUAGCGACACAGAACACAAGCACCCCUGGGGAGGAGACCAAGCAGUCGCCUGCUACGAAAACUGAGCAGUGGAGGGGAUCAAGACAGCAUGAAACUGGAAAGGAAGACUGCAAACCUGACUGAAGUAGUUGAGAGACACUCGGCACAUGGCACACUUCAACUCAAGAUGUUGGGAGCUGUCAAAGCACCACUAUCUUUAGCAUGACGAUCUCACCCUUCUGCACAGAGUCUGCACAUGUGUGGAUCUCUUGGAGGGCGCAGCGCUCCUCUCUUCUCUGCUCUUUUCAUCUCCUUUGCCUCCUUUCAUUUCUAGCACGCCUCAUGUUGAGCUUUGUUUGCAAGCCAACACGUUGAGGUUCACACUCAGGGAGGUGGCAGAGGAAGGGGAACAGCAGGCAGAAGCCCUUUUUAAACAUGGCACUUGCGGGUGUACAGCGGCCCACCUAUGUGGAAACAUCGAGGAGACGUUAACCUGGGUCAAAACCGAAAAUGAAGAUGAAAGCAAAGCUUUGGGAAGCAUGUUCACUCUCUGCCCCAUCAACCCCAUGUUUGCACAAACACCAUCUGACCACAGCACCUCAAGAUGGCCCUCGUGACUGUAAACA